rnacentral:tRNA from 1 species
GGUAAAAUGGCUGAGUUUUAAGCGGUGGACUGUAAACCCAUAUACAGGGGUUUGAUUCCCCUUUUUAUCA